GACGUAGGAUGCAAGCGUUGUCCGGAUUUAUUGGGCGUAAAGAGUUCGUAGGCGGUUCGUUAAGUCUGAUGUUAAAGAUCGGGGCUCAACCCUGGGAGUGCAUUGGAUACUGGCGAACUGGAGUGCAGUAGAGGCGAGUGGAAUUCCCAGUGUAGCGGUGAAAUGCGUAGAUAUUGGGAAGAACACCGGUGGCGUAGGCGACUCGCUGGGCUGUAACUGACGCUGAGGAACGAAAGCCAGGGGAGCGAAUGGG
rnacentral:rRNA from 1 species